GACAGUGCAGCCACCUCCGAGAGCCUGGAUGUGAUGGCGUCACAGAAGAGACCCUCCCAGAGGCACGGAUCCAAGUACCUGGCCACAGCAAGUACCAUGGACCAUGCCAGGCAUGGCUUCCUCCCAAGGCACAGAGACACGGGCAUCCUUGACUCCAUCGGGCGCUUCUUUGGCGGUGACAGGGGUGCGCCCAAGCGGGGCUCUGGCAAGGACUCACACCACCCGGCAAGAACUGCUCACUACGGCUCCCUGCCCCAGAAGUCACACGGCCGGACCCAAGAUGAAAACCCCGUAGUCCACUUCUUCAAGAACAUUGUGACGCCUCGCACACCACCCCCGUCGCAGGGAAAGCGUGAAGGGGGCCGAAGGCCAGAGACCAGGAUUUGGCUACGGAGGCAGAGCGUCCGACUAUAAAUCGGCUCACAAGGGAUUCAAGGGAGUCGAUGCCCAGGGCACGCUUUCCAAAAUUUUUAAGCUGGGAGGAAGAGAUAGUCGCUCUGGAUCACCCAUGGCUAGACGCUGAAAACCCACCUGGUUCCGGAAUCCUGUCCUCAGCUUCUUAAUAUAACUGCCUUAAAACUUUAAUCCCACUUGCCCCUGUUACCUAAUUAGAGCAGAUGACCCCUCCCCUAAUGCCUGCGGAGUUGUGCACGUAGUAGGGUCAGGCCACGGCAGCCUACCGGCAAUUUCCGGCCAACAGUUAAAUGAGAACAUGAAAACAGAAAACGGUUAAAACUGUCCCUUUCUGUGUGAAGAUCACGUUCCUUCCCCCGCAAUGUGCCCCCAGACGCACGUGGGUCUUCAGGGGGCCAGGUGCACAGACGUCCCUCCACGUUCACCCCUCCACCCUUGGACUUUCUUUUCGCCGUGGCUGCGGCACCCUUGCGCUUUUGCUGGUCACUGCCAUGGAGGCACACAGCUGCAGAGACAGAGAGGACGUGGGCGGCAGAGAGGACUGUUGACAUCCAAGCUUCCUUUGUUUUUUUUUCCUGUCCUUCUCUCACCUCCUAAAGUAGACUUCAUUUUUCCUAACAGGAUUAGACAGUCAAGGAGUGGCUUACUACAUGUGGGAGCUUUUGGUAUGUGACAUGCGGGCUGGGCAGCUGUUAGAGUCCAACGUGGGGCAGCACAGAGAGGGGGCCACCUCCCCAGGCCGUGGCUGCCCACACACCCCAAUUAGCUGAAUUCGCGUGUGGCAGAGGGAGGAAAAGGAGGCAAACGUGGGCUGGGCAAUGGCCUCACAUAGGAAACAGGGUCUUCCUGGAGAUUUGGUGAUGGAGAUGUCAAGCAGGUGGCCUCUGGACGUCACCGUUGCCCUGCAUGGUGGCCCCAGAGCAGCCUCUAUGAACAACCUCGUUUCCAAACCACAGCCCACAGCCGGAGAGUCCAGGAAGACUUGCGCACUCAGAGCAGAAGGGUAGGAGUCCUCUAGACAGCCUCGCAGCCGCGCCAGUCGCCCAUAGACACUGGCUGUGACCGGGCGUGCUGGCAGCGGCAGUGCACAGUGGCCAGCACUAACCCUCCCUGAGAAGAUAACCGGCUCAUUCACUUCCUCCCAGAAGACGCGUGGUAGCGAGUAGGCACAGGCGUGCACCUGCUCCCGAAUUACUCACCGAGACACACGGGCUGAGCAGACGGCCCCGUGGAUGGAGACAAAGAGCUCUUCUGACCAUAUCCUUCUUAACACCCGCUGGCAUCUCCUUUCGCGCCUCCCUCCCUAACCUACUGACCCACCUUUUGAUUUUAGCGCACCUGUGAUUGAUAGGCCUUCCAAAGAGUCCCACGCUGGCAUCACCCUCCCCGAGGACGGAGAUGAGGAGUAGUCAGCGUGAUGCCAAAACGCGUCUUCUUAAUCCAAUUCUAAUUCUGAAUGUUUCGUGUGGGCUUAAUACCAUGUCUAUUAAUAUAUAGCCUCGAUGAUGAGAGAGUUACAAAGAACAAAACUCCAGACACAAACCUCCAAAUUUUUCAGCAGAAGCACUCUGCGUCGCUGAGCUGAGGUCGGCUCUGCGAUCCAUACGUGGCCGCACCCACACAGCACGUGCUGUGACGAUGGCUGAACGGAAAGUGUACACUGUUCCUGAAUAUUGAAAUAAAACAAUAAACUUUUAAUGG
rnacentral:lncRNA from 1 species